rnacentral:tRNA from 1 species
GCCUGGAUGGCUCAGUUGGUUAAGCACCCGACUUCGGCUCAGGUCAUGAUCUCAUGGUUUGUGGGUUCAAGCCCCGCGUCAGGCU